rnacentral:rRNA from 1 species
UGGGGAAUAUUGCACAAUGGGCGAAAGCCUGAUGCAGCAACGCCGCGUGAGUGAUGACGGUCUUCGGAUUGUAAAGCUCUGUCUUUGGGGACGAUAAUGACGGUACCCAAGGAGGAAGCCACGGCUAACUACGUGCCAGCAGCCACGGUAAUACGUAGGUGGCAAGCGUUGUCCGGAUUUACUGGGCGUAAAGGGUGCGUAGGCGGACCUUUAGGUGAGAUGUGAAAUCCCCGAGCUUAACUUGGGGGCUGCAUUUCAAACUGGAGGUCUAGUGUGCAGGAGAGGAGAGUGGAAUUCCUAGUGUAGCGGUGAAAUGCGUAGAGAUUAGGAAGAACACCAGUGGCGAAGGCGACUCUCUGGACUGUAACUGACGCUGAGGCACGAAAGCGUGGGGAGCAAACAG